GCCAGAACUGGAAAGCUACUGCCUGACGUGACAGGGUCCUCACCGGGGCACCAGCAGCCACCAGGGAAGCAGAGGCAGGCAAGAUGGAUCUUGGAUUCUCUGGAGCUAGAUGGUGACGUAUGAACAUGCUUUUACUCAGUUUGGCAUGACCCAAGGUUUCAUUAAUGUAUUAUAGGAGCUAUGGAGACAUUUCUGAAGAUUCUGAAAGAAAGGAAGAAAGGAAGGGAUGAAGGAAGGAAGG
rnacentral:lncRNA from 1 species